GAGGUUUUCAUAUGAUCCAUGAGAGUUAUCCACAUCAAGCAUCUUCAUCAACCCAUGGAGGUCAGACGUAUCAUGGGGUGGAUGGUGGCCUCGUUGAUCUCACAAUGGGCAGCGGGAGAGGGCCAUUCAAACGUAAGAGUCCUGGUAUACCUGCAGGUGGCGAAAGUGGUAGUACGAGCAGAUACUUCGAUGCUGGCAGUUCAUCUGAUAUCCCUUCUGACUCUUGGCAGAUGGUGGCCUCGUUGACCUCACAAUGGGCAGCGGGAGAGGGCCAUACAAACGUAAGAGUCCUGGUAUACCUGCAGGUGGCGAAAGUGGUAGUACGAGCAGAUACUUCGAUGCUGGCAGCUCAUCUGAUAUCCCUUCUGACUCUUGGCAUGAGAAACAAAAUCCAGAUUCUCAUUACACGUCUUGGGGUUUACAUCCUAGUUACAGAGG
rnacentral:lncRNA from 1 species